CGCACGGUGAGUAACACGUAUCCAACCUGCCGUCUACUCUUGGACAGCCUUCUGAAAGGAAGAUUAAUACAAGAUGGCAUCAUGAGUCCGCAUGUUCACAUGAUUAAAGGUAUUCCGGUAGACGAUGGGGAUGCGUUCCAUUAGAUAGUAGGCGGGGGUAACGGCCCACCUAGUCUUCGAUGGAUAGGGGUUCUGAGAGGAAGGUCCCCCACAUUGGAACUGAGACACGGUCCAAACUCCUACGGGAGGCAGCAUG
rnacentral:rRNA from 1 species